rnacentral:lncRNA from 1 species
GCUUUAGGGAAUAAUGACAUUGAUGCAUAACCAAUGUAGUAAGUUGCAUGAUUAAGAAUGAUUGGCAUCAUGAUAUGAGAUUCAUGAUUUGACAGAUAACCAUUAUGCAACCCAACAUCUGGUUCUUAGGACAAGGAUCAUGAUACGAGAUUGUACCACAGAGUUGGUAGAUAUGAUCAUGUCUUUAGGAACAGGAUGAUUUUUUUUUUUUAGUAGCAAAGGGUCCAAAAGAAUUUGGGCAAAGCUCAAACCAGGACAUAUCAUGGGCAAAAGUUGAUAUUCAAGAGAACCCAACGAGGUUUGGUUAGGUACAGAUGCAUA